rnacentral:tRNA from 1 species
GUGGGUGAUGGUUUGGUAAGGAAUGCAAUCAUUCGUAAUGAUGGGGUCAGAGGUUCGAGUCCUCUAAGCGCACCA